AGCUUCAGUAAUCUAGAGGAGUUGUACUGUUUGGUAUAUCCUGUCAUCUCAAAUAUAAGCAACGACAAAAUUAACAUUUUUAAAGGGAAUAAAUUUAUAAUAAUAAAUAACAUAAGUCUCUUCAAGAAGAAUAUUAUACUUGAGUUGAAGAAUUGGGAUUGAAAGGUCUAAACACCAUGUUGAAAGACAGAAAGUCGGAAGAAGAGGGGAAAAAUUGACUGAAAUAUGGAGUUUUUUUUUCUCAUUAAUUUUUUUUUGGGUAAUUAUUAGCAUUUGCAGGAGGGAUAAAGAGUUGGCGCCGAAGAAGAAGAAGAAGAAGAAAGAGGACGAAGAUGAUGAUCAUGGAGAGGAAAUCACUUGUGUUUUUCUUGUUACUGCUCAUUUUCUUGGCUUCUCAAGAGAUGAUUAUGCCAAGUGAGGCAAUACGAUUGCUAAAAAUACCAUGGCCAAUACCAAGACCAAGACCAAGACCAAGACCAAGAUCAAGUCCAAAUCGAAGAUUUUGCAAGUCACGGAGCCACAAGUUCCAGGGAACGUGCGUGCGCGGCAACGACUGUGGUCUGGUGUGCAAGAACGAAGGUUUCUAUGGUGGCAACUGCCAAGGAUUCCCUCGCCGUUGUUUCUGCAUCAAAAUUUGUUAACUGGUGCUACCCGCAGAGAUCAUGAGGAUCAUUGCAGUACGCUUGCAGCAUAUGGUUUUUAAUUAGUAGUUCGAAAUAAUUAAUGAAUAAUUGCCAUGCAUAUUUGUAGCUCUAGGGUUAAAGUACUUUGGCUUUGUGAGUUAUGAUAUAAAUGAUCUUGCAUGGAUAUAUGUUGUUAAUGCUGGAUCUUGAAGUGAUCUAUUACUACUGUCAUCUAGUCAUGACUUUCUUUCUCGAUCCAUAUGUCUGUAAUUUGUUUGAAUAAAAGUACUGAGUCUGAGUCAAGUGUCUGUCUGUCUGUCUGUCAUAUAUCUAGUCGUGACUUAAUUUCUUUUUAA